GGCUCAGUACGAACGCUGGCGGCGCGCCUAAUACAUGCAAGUCGAGCGAGAAGACGUAGCAAUACGUUUGUAAAGCGGCGAACGGGUGAGGAAUACAUGGGUAACCUACCCUCGAGUGGGGAAUAACUAGCCGAAAGGUUAGCUAAUACCGCAUACGGCUCCUGGUCUGCGGAUCGGGAGAGAAAGCGAUACCGUGGGUAUCGCGCUCUUGGAUGGGCUCAUGUCCUAUCAGCUUGUUGGUGAGGUAACGGCUCACCAAGGCUUCGACGGGUAGCUGGUCUGAGAGGACGAUCAGCCACACUGGCACUGCGACACGGACCAGACUCCUACGGGAGGCAGCAGUAAGGAAUAUUGCGCAAUGGGCGACAGCCUGACGCAGCGACGCCGCGUGGGGGAUGAAGGUCUUCGGAUUGUAAACCCCUUUCGGCAGGGAAGAUGGAACGGGUAACCGUUCGGACGGUACCCGCAGAAGCAGCCACGGCUAACUUCGUGCCAGCAGCCGCGGUAAUACGAAGGUGGCAAGCGUUGUUCGGAUUUACUGGGCGUACAGGGAGCGUAGGCGGUUAGGUAAGCCCUUCGUGAAAUCUCCGGGCCUAACCCGGAAAGGGCGGAGGGGACUGCUUGGCUAGAGGAUGGGAGAGGAGCGCGGAAUUCCCGGUGUAGCGGUGAAAUGCGUAGAGA
rnacentral:rRNA from 1 species